UGAACUCCAUGGUUCAGAUUUUGAAUUAUUUCAUGAUAUGAACUACCAUCUUUCUGAUUUUUUUGAGCAUUUCCUCUUUCUCUUUGUUUUUUUGUCCUAAUUUUUCUAUUAUUUUCUUCUGAAUAUGACAUCUAAAAUUAUGCUUCUUAAGGUAACUGGACCUGGUUUCUAGGAUUUUUUUUAGCUGUUUUAUGGUUUAUGAAUUCAGAAUGGUCUGAAUUAGCUUUUGAAGGUAUUUCCUUCAUGUUUCUGUCUGAAUAGUUAUGAACAAUGUCUAGGGGAGCUUCUGAAUUUUCCUGAACUCCAUGGUUCAGAUUUUGAAUUAUUUCAUGAUAUGAACUACCAUCUUUCUGAUUUUAGAUAUAGAAAUUAAAAAAUUUCAUAUUUCUAGAAAUGUGCUAAUGAUGGGGUUACUGGAUUAUGCUUUAUAGGGUUACUGGAUUCUAAUUUACAUCUACUGAAUUCUGUUUUCAGACCUAGAGAUUGAAUAAUCCUUGUGGUUUCCUCUUUCUCUUUGUUUUUUUGUCCUAAUUUUUCUAUUAUUUUCUUCUGAAUAUGACAUCUAAAAUUAUGCUUCAUAAGGUAACUGGACCUGGUUUCCAAUGAAUUUCAUUAGAUUUUUUUAGCUGUUUUAUGGUUUACGAAUUCAGAAUGGUCUGAAUUAGCUUUUGAAGGUAUUUCCUUCAUGUUUCUGUCUGGCUAGUUAGAACCAGUGUCCAGGGGAUUGAUAUUUCUGCUUAAAAUCCCUUGGAUUUUAUGUUUAGAUGUGUGAGUUUGUUCAUGACUUAAAAUAGCCUCUUUUUGAGCAUCAGAAUUUUCCUGAACUCCAUGGUUCAGAUUUUGAAUUAUUUCAUGAUAUGAACUACCAUCUUUCUGAUUUUUUUGAGCAUUUAUAUGUGGAAUUUCAUUAGAUUGCCUAUUAUUAUUGGUUUCCAAUGAAUCCUCAUACGUUUUGCUUUGUUCUAGGUUUUUUUUUGAAAAUUGAGUUUGGAUUGACUCAUUUCUUUUUUUAUUUUUUUAUUUUAAUCUUCCUUUAUAGUCUGAAGAUGCCAUUCUCCUCUCCUUAUUUUUAUCUCAUUAGUUAGUGCCAAAAAUCAAUUCUGUUUUCAGACCUAUAGAUUGAAUAAUCCUUGUGGUUUCCUCUUUCUUUUUGUUUUUUUGUCCUAAUUUUUCUAUUACUUUCUUCUGAAUAUCACAUCUAAAAUUAUGCUUCAUAAGGUAACUGGACCUGGUUUCUAGGAUUUUUUUUAGCUGUUUUAUGGUUUACGAAUUCAGAAUGGUCUGAAUUAGCUUUUGAAGGUAUUUCCUUCAUGUUUCUGUCUGGCUAGUUAGAACCCGUGUCCAGGGGAUUGAUAUUUCUGUUUAAAAUCCCUUGGAUUUUAUGUUUAGAUGUGUGAGUUUGUUCAUGACUUAAAAUAGCCUCUUUUUGAGCUAUUUUGGAAUUUAUAGAUUCAAAAUGGUCUGAAUUAAAAUUUGAAGGUAUUUCCUUCAUAUUCCUAUCUGAAUAGUUAUAAACAAUGUCUAGGGGAGCAUCUGAAUUUUCCUGAACUCCGUGGUUCAGAUUUUGAAUUAUUUCAUGAUAUGAACUACCAUCUUUCUGAUUUUUUUGAGCAUUUAUAUGUGGAAUUUCAUUAGAUUGCCUAUUUUUAUUGGUUUCCAAUGAAUCCUCAUACGUUUUGCUUUGUUCUAGGUUUUUUUUUGAAAAUUGAGUUUGGAUUGACUCAUUUCUUUUUUUAUUUUGGAAUUUAAAUCUUCCUUUAGAGUCUGAAGAUGCCAUUCUCCUCUCUUUAUUUUUAUCUCAUCAGUUAGUGCCAAAAAUCAAUUUCCUCAUUUUCACACCAAUGCAAUUAAACAAUUAUAACAGGCUAUCUUCAUAACGAAAUUCAAGAAAAGAUGAAUAAUCAAAUUAAUCAUAUAUUGUUCUUUAAUUUUCUGUGUUUCUAUUUUCAAGUACCAUCUUGCUGAAUAGGACUUCUUAAUUUUUCUCUAGAGUUGUAUGAAUGGUUUAAAUCAAUUAGGGUCACAUUGAACUUCUUUACUAGGACCUCUCAAUUUUUUUACGAUCAAGAUAUUAUCCUUUAAAUUUAUGUAGUAUUAUGCUUUAAAAAGUAGCUGUAAAUUUCUCAUAAUUUUAUUUGGGAUUGUAUGACUGGUUUAUAUCAAUUAGUGUGUUAUUUUCUUAAAAAAUAUCCAGCUGGUUUGAUGUUUCAUUCUCAGUGUCUUUAGUGUUUAGUGUUGAUUCUAUUUGUUGAAGAGUCUUGAUUUUGAGAACAUAAGUUUAGAAAAGGAUAUAUAGUGUUAUUAGAACAUAAUAUCGAGUCUCUUUAGAUAUAUAAGUUCCCAAUUCCUAAUAUUUUUAAAAUCUUUUAGAUUUUCGAUUGCUAAGACAUAUAAGUAAGUCUUAGAGUUCAAUAAAACUAAUG
rnacentral:lncRNA from 1 species